GCACGCGCUUGGGGCCGCCGCCGGGGGCGGGAGGCGUUGACGCCCGGCUGGGGUGGCGGCUCCCGCGCAGGCGCAGACGGGCCGGCCCGCUGGGGCGGGGCCGCGGCGGGAGCCGCCCCGCCGGUGCAGGUGGGCCGACCGGACGGGACUGGGCCCUCCAGCAGCGGUGAGGACCCGUCUCAGCUCCCAGGCGAGCCCAGCCGAGAGAGAGCUUCGUUCUGGAGGUGGCCCUGGACCCCGGAGUUCAGCCCUCAACGGGGACAGCCAUUCGCUAAAAAUCUACCCCCCCCCCCCCCCCAUCGUUAGGCAGCGCGGCGGGCUCCGCACGCUGACGUCCCGUUUCUCUCCUUCCCUCACCCAGACCCCUCGGGGAGCAGCUGUGAGCCGGUCACACGGAGGGAUGACCUCUCUAGGCGGGGACGCCGUGUGAGCGGAAGAGACCUGUCAGCAUGCAAACAGUAGGGCACUCUGAACACACCCUGAAGACGGCCCUCAUCUCAAAGAACCCAGAGCUUGUGAAGCAGUAUGAGCAGUUGGACCCCGGGGAGCAGCGCCUGCUUAACGAGGCCUUCCAGCCACGCAGUGAUCUCUUUGGACCCAUUACUUUGCAUUCACCAUCGGACUGGAUAAUCUCCCAUCCUGAGGCUCCGCAAGACUUUGAAGAGUUUUUCAGUGAUCUUCACAGAAAGAGCCCUUCUCCAGAGAAGCAGACUAUUUACAUACAGUGCAUUGGAUUGCUGGGAAACACCAGAAGUAUCAGUGAAGAAUAUUUGAAAUGGCUCAAGGGCUACUGUGAAGCCUUCUUCUAUGGGUUGACAGUCAAACUCCUAGAGCCGAUUCCUGUCUCUGCAACCAGAUGUUCCUUUAGAAUCAACGAUAGCACACGGAACCUUCAGAUUCAUGCAGGGCAGAUCCUGACGUUCUUAAAAAAGAAGAAACCCGAAGAUGCCUUUUGUGUUGUGGGAAUAACUAUGAUCGAUCUUUACCCAAGAGACUCCUGGAAUUUUGUCUUUGGACAGGCUUCUUUGACAGAGGGUGUGGGGAUAUUCAGCUUUGCCAGGUACGGCACGGACUUCUACAGCUCACACUACAAAGGCGAGCUGAGGAAGCUGGAGAGGAGGUCUUCGAGCGACUACUCGGUGUUCGAUGACUACCAGCUUCCUGAGGCCACCAGUGUACUGCUGCUCCGCUCGUGCAAGACUCUUACCCACGAGAUCGGACACAUCUUUGGCCUCCGGCACUGCCAGUGGCUCGCCUGCCUGAUGCAAGGCUCCAACCACCUGGAGGAAGCCGACCGGCGCCCGCUGGACCUCUGCCCCAUCUGCUUACGCAAGCUGCAGAGUGCCGUCGGCUUCCGGCUCAGAGACCGGUACAAAGUGCCCACAAACAUGUCAGCGUAUGCGGCAUCCCUGCGUGGGUAUGGCCACCCACACGGGUGACUGCAGUCCCUGUCUGCACGUGUGUGUGCACGUGUGUGUGCCUGCCAGCCCAGUGUGCACACUUAACUUCAGGCACUGGUCAGGUGGAUUGAUGCCGAGUCCACUGACACUCCUAGAGUUACUCCAAAACACAGUCGUGAGGAGCUGGUAACUUUGCCAAAACCUGUGGAAGCCUUUAAAGAGUGGAGGGAGUGGGUCACAAGAUGCCUGGCUGUUCUCCAGAAAUAAGGACCUUCAGUAGGAGUAAUUCAAAUAAACACGUGCACAUCAUG